UAAGUGCCUAUGAUUGUGGCAGUAGUUGUUACUAUUAUGAUGGUUGAAAUUAUGAGACAAACCCAUGUGAUGAUUCUUAGAAUUAGAGCUAUGAUUGCCAUCAAUGAAGAGGAGGAUGGCGCCUGUGCUGGUUGCGGCUGUGGCGGUGCCUCCUCAUCAGGCUGCGGUGGUGCCGUAGGUCGUGACAUGUUUUGAAAAGUAAUGAAAACUCUGCUCGUUUAAGGCUGAUAAUGCUUAUAAUAUAUUGCAGAUGGUGAUUUAUAUAUAUGUACGAUUUUUAUUAGUUUCUGAUUUGUAUAUUAUCAAUGUGUAGUUACAUGAACUUGCUGAUCAUUUUGUCCCUAAGUUAUGUCUUUAGUUCGACGCCUUGUUGACAGCUCACUUGGAGCACACAACCAAGCUAGCUGUAGUUUUUUAAUUUUUUUUUUCUGAAAAUUGUAUUCAUGAUACAUAAGAAUUGGGAUUAUCCCAUUUGAAAUAGACAAUGAACUUGUGGUGACA
rnacentral:lncRNA from 1 species